rnacentral:rRNA from 1 species
AUAGUUUGAUCCUGGCUCAGAACGAACGCUGGCGGCAGGCCUAACACAUGCAAGUCGAGGGGGAAGCUAUCUUCGGAUAGUGGAGACCGGCGCACGGGUGAGUAACGCGUGGGAACCUACCCUGGGGUGGGGGAUAACUGCUGGAAACGGCAGCUAAUACCGCAUACGCCUUGAGAGGGAAAGAUUUAUUGCCCUGGGACGGGCCCGCGUUGGAUUAGCUUGUUGGUGAGGUAAAGGCUCACCAAGGCUACGAUCUAUAGCUGGUCUGAGAGGAUGAUCAGCCACACUGGGACUGAGACACGGCCCAGACUCCUACGGGAGGCAGCAGUGGGGAAUAUUGGACAAUGGGGGCAACCCUGAUCCAGCCAUGCCGCGUGCGUGAAGAAGGCCUUAGGGUUGUAAAGCGCUUUCACCGGUGAAGAUGAUGACGGUAGCCGGAGAAGAAGCCCCGGCUAACUCCGUGCCAGCAGCCGCGGUAAUACGGAGGGGGCAAGCGUUGUUCGGAAUGACUGGGCGUAAAGGGCGCGUAGGCGGAUGUGUAAGUUGGGGGUGAAAGGCCUGGGCUCAACCUGGGAAUUGCCUCCAAAACUACACGUCUUGAGAUCGGAAGAGGAUGGCGGAAUUCCCAGUGUAGAGGUGAAAUUCGUAGAUAUUGGGAAGAACACCAGUGGCGAAGGCGGCCAUCUGGUCCGACACUGA